rnacentral:rRNA from 1 species
GACAGAGGCCCCGAGCGUUAGGCGGAAUCACUGGGCUUAAAGCGUGUGUAGGCGGAUCGUUAAGUGUCUCGUGAAAUCCCACGGCUCACCCGUGGAACCGCUGGGCAUACUGGCGAUCUUGGGCCGUUCAGGGGCGACUGGAACAAGCGGUGGAGCGGUGAAAUGCGUAGAUAUCGCUUGGAACGCCGAAGGUGAAAACAGGUCGCUGGGGACGCGCCGACGCUGAGACACGAAAGCCAGGGGAGCAAACGGG